CUUCUUUACCCCCUCCAUUUCUCCUUCCCCAACCAUGUUCUGUGUUUCAACAAAGCUACCUAGUCUCUCUUUCAUCAAAAACCCUAAUCCCCAAAUCCCAGUUUCACCCAAAAUUCAAUAUAAUAAGCCAUUUAUUCGAUGCGAUAUAACAAGGUCUAAAUGAGCAUAUGCCAAUCGGAGAAAAGGAAGCUUAAAUCAAUAUAACAUAUUAAGCCAUUUAUCCGAGUUCCGUUUCGAGGUGUCUGAAUGGUGGUAAUUCGGUUGUUGUUUCUGGUGGUGGUGAUAGUGUGAAUUUGUUCUAAGAGGCGUGGGAGGUCUGUGUCUAAGAGAAAUUACGGUGAUGAUGUUGGUAGUGCAACAAGGGUUGUUUCGGAUAGUGAUUGAGGAAUAGGCGGUCUAUUUCGGUUGUUCAGCAUCAGAUUAGUGGCUCCGAGUUAUCAUAAAAACCGAAGGCAAUCGCUACUUCUGCGAGUUCUUCUGUUAGUGAAAGAGAAGUUGUUCUCAAAAAGCCUGUUAAAUCUACUUCUCAAAACGGGUUCGGGUCAAAACGGGUCAAUUCCAAUAAAGGAUAGGUGCGUUUCAUGGCAAGGUGGUUUAGAGUACGCGGGGAUCAGCUUGGGAACCAAAGUCAUGGAUUCGGAUGGCCUUAUGGCCCCGUGGCGUUAGUUACACCAUUCAGUUUUAGUUUUCCUGUAAAGAUCCCGGCAGUCCAGCUGAUGGGAGCUCUUUACAUGGGCAUCAAACUGGUCCUUAGAGUUGAUAAAAACAGUGAGUUUUUAAGGCACAUAAAUAACUAAUAUUUAUACCUGGGGAUCAUCUAUAUAGGUGAAAACUAACUUCAAUGCACCAAAAUUUGAAUGUCAGAUCACGAGUCACCAAAACAGUAUUAUAUGCAUUCUUUUUAUAGUCUGUACCAAAGAUUGGUAUCAGGGUACUGGUACCAAGCACUGAUGAAGGUGGAGAAAUGGCUAUCAUCUCUGCGGCAGCUAGAUAUCACAGCUUGAGAAUAUGCUGAAGCAGAAAACUUUUACUAUGUUUGUUUUUUGCACCAGUUGUUAAUCUUUUCUAUGAUCUGUGAUGUAAGUUUGACAGCUGGAUAUUACAAAAUUUGACAGUAAUGAGCCGAGCCCGAGCAAGGUCAGCUCGCUCAUUAGUUGGCCCGCUUAAAUUAAAGUCCAAAUUUGACUAAGUGACCCACAUCCUAGCUCAUUGUCGCAGCCUGGGAAUGGAGGCAAAAAGGAGAAGAUAAUUUAUGCAGUUUUUUUGCUAACUUGUCGGAAGCUUUGGCGAAACAGAAACGAGAGUAUUUUCGAUAAAAAGUUCACUUCAGUAGCGAUCUUGGUCGAUGACAUAAAGGUUGAAUCCUUUCGAUAAAAAGUUCACUUCAGUAUCGAGUGAUUGUUUAAAAACCAACUAGAUCUGGUCUGUAUUAUGUAACAUGACUACAUAUAUGUUUUAUGGUUAAACUGAAGUUAUGUUCA